CUCAAGUGGUCAGAGUGAAGAAGGGACAGUUCCACUGCGGAGGCUCUGAAGCUCUCUUCGGCAAGAAGGGAAUUCUCAUUUUUCAGCAAGAUGAACAUAUUAUACUCAAUAGAAAGGAAAACUUCAGGCGGCCUCAUGGUAUGACAUCUUCACCUUCCUCACCAGCACUGUUUAGGUGCAGGGAUGUGUGGUACUGUGGACACAGAAACUACAUCUGAUAACACCUCAGACAAUUCAAAAUGCUUUCAGCUCUGAAGAUGGCUGCCUGCAGGGAAGAAUCCCACGCCAUUCACUAUUCGUGCCAGUAAAAAGAGCCUCUGACCCUACAAACUGAAAACCCCUGAGAAUGACCAGACGGACUGUGACAAAAUGAGACACUAUUCCUAGGAGUCCUGUUAUGUCUCCAGUGUUUUUCUUGAUGAACGCUUGCUUUGGAUGGGAGGCAUGUAUGUGAUUAAUGCUUGCUCUGGACAGGAGGUGAGUGUGCAUACAUGUGCAUGAGUGUGGGGCACAGUCUGUGUGCACAUGGAGAUAUUUUCAGAACCAGGAAU